rnacentral:rRNA from 1 species
CCUACGGGUGGCAGCAGUGAGGGAUAUUGGUCAAUGGGGGAAACCCUGAACCAGCAACGUCGCGUGAGGGAAGACGGUUUUCGGAUUGUAAACCUCUGUCCUCUGUGAAGUUAAUUACGGUAGCAGAGGAGGAAGCUCUGGCUAACUCCGUGCCAGCAGCCGCGGUAAUACGGAGGGUGCCAGCGUUACUCGGAAUCACUGGGCGUAAAGCGCGCGUAGGCGGGAUAGCAAGUCAGAUGUGAAAUCCUAUGGCUUAACCAUAGAACUGCAUUUGAAACUGUUAUUCUAGAGUAUGGGAGAGGUAGGUGGAAUUCGUGGUGUAGGGGUAAAAUCCGUAGAGAUCAAGAGGAAUACUCAUUGCGAAGGCGACCUGCUAGAACAUAACUGACGCUGAUGCGCGAAAGCGUGGGGAGCAAACAGGAUUAGAUACCCUGGUAGUC